GUAGGAGCCGAGCUUGCUCGCGAUGGCGUCAGCACAUUCAACCUGGAUGUUGAAUGAACGACCGCUAUCGCGAGCAAGCUCGGCUCCUAC
rnacentral:antisense_RNA from 1 species